rnacentral:rRNA from 1 species
AUAAAAAACCAAUGCUCUUCGGGGCUCCUUGGUGAUUCAUGAUAACUUAACGAAUCGCAUGGCCUUGUGCCGGCGAUGGUUCAUUCAAAUUUCUGCCCUAUCAACUUUCGAUGGUAGGAUAGUGGCCUACCAUGGUUUCAACGGGUAACGGGGAAUUAGGGUUCUAUUCCGGAGAGGGAGCCUGAGAAACGGCUACCACAUCCAAGGAAGGCAGCAGGCGCGCAAAUUACCCAAUCCCGACACGGGGAGGUAGUGACAAUAAAUACUGAUACAGGGCUCUUUUGAGUCUUGUAAUUGGAAUGAGUACAAUUUAAAUCCCUUAACGAGGAACAAUUGGAGGGCAAGUCUGGUGCCAGCAGCCGCGGUAAUUCCAGCUCCAAUAGCGUAUAUUAAAGUUGUUGCAGUUAAAAAGCUCGUAGUUGAACCUUGGGCCUAGCCGGCCGGUCCGCCUCACCGCGUGCACUGGCUCGGCUGGGUCUUUCCUUCUGGAGAACCGCAUGCCCUUCACUGGGUGUGCC